AAAACAGAUCUCAUGCUACUUUCUGAUUGUAUCUGGACAAUAUCUUCUAGGAAUCAAGUUACAGCGUAGAAUCUCGGUCGAUGUGCCUAAAAGCAGCCCUUGAAGUCUGGUGAAAUAUGUGUGGGUUGACUCAAGAAGCCUUUGAAUUGAGGGAAUGUAUCAAUUUUAUAAGGCUCGGAUGGGAAAUACUAUAAAUACCAUAAGAAUGGAUAACAAGUCGUAUCGAGAAGACCAAUAUGAGGCUAGAAACCUGACCUACUAGACAGAUGUGCAUAUUUAGAGUCGAAAGA
rnacentral:lncRNA from 1 species